UACGUAGGGGGCAAGCGUUAUCCGGAUUUAUUGGGCGUAAAGGGCGCGUAGGCGGCUUGUAUAGUCGGAUGUGAAAUUCCUGGGCUUAACCUAGGGGCUGCAUACGAUACGUAUGGGCUUGAGUGCGGAAGAGGGUAGUGGAAUUCCCGGUGUAGUGGUGAAAUGCGUAGAUAUCGGGAGGAACACCAGUGGCGAAGGCGGCGUUCUGGACUGCAUCUGACACUGAAAGACGAAAGCCAGGGGAGCAAACAGG
rnacentral:rRNA from 1 species